AGGCCCUGAAGGAGGUGGCUGAGAUCGUGACCCAGCUGCAGAGCAGUCUGAUCCGGCUGGAGAACUUCCAAAAACUCACUGAGCUGCAGCGAGACCUCAUCGGCAUCGAGAACCUCACCACACCCGGCAGGAGGCCCUGAAGGAGGUGGCUGAGAUCGUGACCCAGCUGCAGAGCAGUCUGAUCCGGCUGGAGAACUUCCAAAAACUCACUGAGCUGCAGCGAGACCUCAUCGGCAUCGAGAACCUCACCACACCCGGCAGGAGGCCCUGAAGGAGGUGGCUGAGAUCGUGACCCAGCUGCAGAGCAGUCUGAUCCGGCUGGAGAACUUCCAAAAACUCACUGAGCUGCAGCGAGACCUCAUCGGCAUCGAGAACCUCACCACACCCGGCAGGAGGCCCUGAAGGAGGUGGCUGAGAUCGUGACCCAGCUGCAGAGCAGUCUGAUCCGGCUGGAGAACUUCCAAAAACUCACUGAGCUGCAGCGAGACCUCAUCGGCAUCGAGAACCUCACCACACCCGGCAGGAGGCCCUGAAGGAGGUGGCUGAGAUCGUGACCCAGCUGCAGAGCAGUCUGAACCGGCUGGAGAACUUCCAAAAACUCACUGAGCUGCAGCGAGACCUCAUCGGCAUCGAGAACCUCACCACACCCGGCAGGAGGCCCUGAAGGAGGUGGCUGAGAUCGUGACCCAGCUGCAGAGCAGUCUGAUCCGGCUGGAGAACUUCCAAAAACUCACUGAGCUGCAGCGAGACCUCAUCGGCAUCGAGAACCUCACCGCACCCGGCAGGGACUUCAUUCGUGAGGGCUGCCUGUACAAACUCACCAAGAAGGGACUUGAGCAGAGGAUGUUCUUCCUGAUUCCGCAUGUGAUUGGAUACGUCAACUGCUUGGCUGAAACCGGAUCUCUACAAACAUUUGUGAUUUU